rnacentral:rRNA from 1 species
UACGUAGGGGGCAAGCGUUGUCCGGAUUUACUGGGCGUAAAGGGCGCGUAGGCGGCGUGACAAGUCACUUGUGAAAUCUCCGGGCUUAACUCGGAACGGUCAAGUGAUACUGUCGUGCUAGAGUGCAGAAGGGGCAAUCGGAAUUCUUGGUGUAGCGGUGAAAUGCGUAGAUAUCAAGAGGAACACCUGAGGUGAAGACGGGUUGCUGGGCUGACACUGACGCUGAGGCGCGAAAGCUAGGGGAGCAAACGGG